UCGGUAGAGAACGAAAACCCUAAUCUGAUCUUUCGUUUUCUUUCGAGAGGCUUGUGUGGAAUCGACAAGCAAGGACAAAAAGGAAUCUUCAAGUGACGCGACGAGGAAUCCGUGGGGUAGCUCACUAUAGAAUGACAGUGGCAGGGUGUAAGGAGUAAGAUUCUGAUGAGGAGCCGCCGAGCUAACGUGAUGACAUUGGCGUUAUUUUGAGCGAGAGUUGUGUUUUGUAAUCAACUCCUCCGUAGUUAGUUUUUAAGUUUUAUUUUGUUGAGUUAAAGAUGUAAAACUGGAAUUUUAAU